UGGGGAAUAUUGGACAAUGGGCGAAAGCCUGAUCCAGCCAUGCCGCGUGAGUGAUGAAGGCCCUAGGGUUGUAAAGCUCUUUUGUGCGGGAAGAUAAUGACGGUACCGCAAGAAUAAGCCCCGGCUAACUUCGUGCCAGCAGCCGCGGUAAUACGAAGGGGGCUAGCGUUGCUCGGAAUCACUGGGCGUAAAGGGUGCGUAGGCGGGUUUCUAAGUCAGAGGUGAAAGCCUGGAGCUCAACUCCAGAACUGCCUUUGAUACUGGAAGUCUUGAGUUCGGGAGAGGUGAGUGGAACUGCGAGUGUAGAGGUGAAAUUCGUAGAUAUUCGCAAGAACACCUGUGGCGAAGGCGGCUCACUGGCCCGAUACUGACGCUGAGGCACGAAAGCGUGGGGAGCAAACA
rnacentral:rRNA from 1 species